rnacentral:rRNA from 1 species
UACGGGGGGGGCAAGCGUUGUUCGGAAUUACUGGGCGUAAAGGGCUCGUAGGCGGCCAACUAAGUCGGAUGUGAAAUCCCCAGGCUUAACCUGGGAACUGCAUCCGAUACUGGAUGGCUUGAAUCCGGGAGAGGGAUGCAGAAUUCCAGGUGUAGCGGUGAAAUGCGUAGAUAUCUGGAGGAAUACCGGUGGCGAAGGCGGCAUUCUGGACCGAAACUGACACUGAGGCGCGAAAGCCAGGGGAGCAAACGGG